AUUGAACGCUGGCGGCAGGCCUAACACAUGCAAGUCGAGCGGUAGCACAGGGAGCUUGCUCCUGGGUGACGAGCGGCGGACGGGUGAGUAAUGUCUGGGAAACUGCCUGAUGGAGGGGGAUAACUACUGGAAACGGUAGCUAAUACCGCAUAACGUCGCAAGACCAAAGAGGGGGACCUUAGGGCCUAUUGCCAUCAGAUGUGCCCAGAUGGGAUUAGCUAGUAGGUGGGGUAACGGCUCACCUAGGCGACGAUCCCUAGCUGGUCUGAGAGGAUGACCAGCCACACUGGAACCUACGCACGGUCCAGACUCCUACGGGAGGCAGCAGUGGGGAAUAUUGCACAAUGGGCGCAAGCCUGAUGCAGCCAUGCCGCGUGUAUGAAGAAGGCCUUCGGGUUGUAAAGUACUUUCAGCGGGGAGGAAGGCGAUAAGGUUAAUAACCUUGUCGAUUGACGUUACCCGCAGAAGAAGCACCGGCUAACUCCGUGCCAGCCGCCGCAGUAA
rnacentral:rRNA from 1 species